rnacentral:rRNA from 1 species
UACGGGGGAUCCGAGCGUUAUCCGGAUUUAUUGGGUUUAAAGGGUGCGUAGGCGGGCAUACAAGUCAGCGGUGAAAGUUUCCGGCUCAACCGGGGAAUUGCCAUUGAAACUGUACGCCUUGAGUGCAGACGAGGCAGGCGGAAUUCGUAGUGUAGCGGUGAAAUGCUUAGAUAUUACGAAGAACACCAAUUGCGUAGGCAGCUUGCCAGGCUGCAACUGACGCUGAGGCACGAAGGUGCGGGGAUCAAACAGG